UCUGAAAGAACUUUCUCUAGAAACUUCAGAUGAUUGAAGAUUUGAUGUUUUCAUGCUUUCCACAGGCAUUUUUGAACAUGGUAUUCAGACGAGCCAUCUUCGAGUUAGUUUUUGGAGAUGCAAUGUUGAGUAACAAGUUCAAUAAAGCUGUGGAUAAACAUGGAAACAAUCAUGAUGCUUUAUUGCAUAAUUGAAGGUGAAUACAAUUUUAUCCGAAUGUUGGCCACAGAGAAUUUUUCAGAUCAUUAUCUGCAGGUACAUUUCCUUUUUGAGGGUGGGAUUUAAGCGUCCAUGGGUCUUGAUCACUUGACAUUUGAUGAGGGUGAGAUAGUUUGGGUUGUGAAUAUCCGAUGAAAUUAAUGGAAAAUUUCUAGUCAAUACAUAAAAAAGAGAGACUGGGUUCGAUUUUUA